GGAAGGCUAGCACACAUCAUUUCUCUAAGAAGAAGUGAGUUUCACUCCGAGCUGGGCUCGUCGCCCUUGAAUUCCGUUCCGUAGUUCAAUCUGGAACUCCAGAUGUGUAAGUAGCGGCCAAGCGGCUCUGUCCUUUUCAAAGAGGUUAUCCUUCUCUGUCCCCGCUUCUUAGUGUUAUAGGAUAGCUUCCCAUUCAAGUAAGUCACUUUUCCCGGGUACGCGGUUGCUGUCUUCUUUGUAGCCCUUUGUUUAAGAUUGGUAGAAGCCCCUUUUUAGCACCACCUUUCCUUUUCGCUAACUUGUCAAAGUUGGAGCUGCGGGCAUUCUUUCAUCAACCGAAUCUACUUCUACCGCUUCGCUCCUCUGUUCGUAUUUCUUUAUUUCCGAGCAAGACUUACGCUAAGACUACUUAAGUGUCUAUCUCCUACUCCUAAGGCCGUUCCAUAGCUACUGGAACUUAUUUCCAAAGUAAAAAGGAGCGAAGUGGGCUGUGUAAUCAUUGGAAUUUUGACUCUUUUUUCUUUAAUUUAUAUAUAAAAAAGGUAGGUAAGUAAGAAGCGGAAAACUAGUCCCCUUUGGAGGCCCCUCAUUCUCAAUGCAAACUAGCUCUUUUUUGUGUUUAGUGAGGAGACAACCUCUGACCUCUUUAUAGAUCAAUCUUUCCCGGGAAAGAAGUUUAGAUCCGUGGAAUUUCUCGUCUCCCCUUCUAGUCUCUUGGAUUCAUCCUUCCUAUUGGCAUUUUAGAACACUAUCCGUGAUAACUAGACUAUUCGAUGGAAACU
rnacentral:lncRNA from 1 species